UAUCCACACAGUGGCCCAUACAGAAAGGUGACAUUUGAGAGAACAAUUGCUAGGUUGUUUGGCCUCAUUUGCGGCUAUGAAUGAGGCUUAAGAAAAGGUGUCUUUGGAUUGCUACUAAUAGUCAUCUUCAUCAUUACUACUUGCUCGCUCUCUCUCUCCUCUCUUUCUCGGUUCCCUUAUGAAAUAAGGGCACACAGGUAAUAAACAAAGCACUAUAAAAGAUCAGAUUGAGGUAUUCCGUGCGCUCAUUCAAUGUCGGAGCAGGCACUCUGCACUCCACCGCUGCCACUUUCGGCCUCAAAAGCUGCUACGAGACUGAGGACUAGUAGUGGGAUUAGACUAGACCCCUUCCUCCCUUUCUGCGACUUUGCUGAAUUUAAGAGGAUCCCAUCUUUGUUCAGCCAAACCACACCUGACAGCCAAGGGGCAGAGGAAAAGAGGUCAGGAUAGAGACCCUUGGAUUUGCUCAUGUGGAUGGUGGAUCUUUACCUGACUUUCUUGGUCAAGCCUCAUGCCAGAUCCAGGUCUGUGUGGUGGGGCCCCUGGAAAUCCCCAAGAGCAGUCACCAGAGUGCACCAUACCAGAGACGCCUACAGCCGGAGAAUUUACACCACUGGAAAGAUCUGCGACAUCUCACAGACUGAGGCUGAGGAGUGUAUCUGGUUUCUGCAGCAGAACAAAAUGGCGGCCUUUUUUCCUUCCAUGAAAGGAGACCUCACGAGGCCGUGGUCAAGGAAGAAGAAGAAUCAAUGGCCUUUUUUUUUUCUUUCUCCUUCUUCUUUUUCUAAACAAAGAAGCUAAAUGAGAACACUAAGCCCGGAGGAGAAUUAUGCUCGUGGCAGGACUUUUCGAGGUCUGGUGGAGCUGUUCAUAUAAACAAAUUAUGCAGUCCCUCCUUGGGUGACCUGGAUCCUGAGAGUGAGUUUGGUGGCCUCACAGCUUUCCAUCCUCUCCAUCACUGCUUAAGUGGCAGACGGGGGAGGAAUAUGGAGUCCAAAAAGGUCCAUGUGUAUUCUCCUGCCCUAUCACAAGUUUGCACUGUUUGGGCCAACCUGUGGGAGAGAAAGCCUGGCCUGUAGGAGCAGGGAGAGAUCAGGAGUCAGCACCGGGAGGAGGAAGAGGGGAAGUCUGUCCCAUUGCCAUCUGGGGAAGGUGUGUCCCUGAUGGGAUGGGAGAAAAAAGAGCAAGCAGUCCAAGGGGUGAUUUAGGGGAAAUUAAUCCACUGGAGUUUUUCAAGAAAGAAAGGAAGAAUUCAGCACAGCUCAUCAAAAAGGGGAAGACUUGGGUCCAGAAUUCUCCUGUUCUCCUGCCAAAUGCAAACACACGCAUGUGCACACUCGGCCCCUGAUGACCCACCCCACUUGUACCCCUGUCCUCUUGGUCUUUCCUCACUUAAAAAUCAUCUGGCAAAGGGGUUGGUUACUACUCAUUUAGGAGGAUCCCAGCAUUACCUUUAUGUUGGCUUCGGGUGAAAGGGGACCCAAACUUUUCAAAACGUCUGUUUUCACAGAUAAAACACAAAGGCAGAACUUCACUGGAGGAGAUGGGGGUGGCGCAUUUCCUUCUGAGCAAUGGCAAGCGGCAAGCUCAUUUGGAAUUUCCCUUACCAGAACAUUUCUCUGCGCAUCAAUUUCAGGAGGAUUUUUAGUUAAGAAUCACAAAGUUUAUCUAUGCAGAGAUGGGGAUUCCUGCUAAAGCCAGAGAAGAUGCUUGUACUAGGACACCUUAUGGCUGAUCUCAGGCCUCUCAUUGUUCGAAACGCUUAGUCUGAGAGUCCUAUUUAUGUACCAGAUAUCUUUAUUAAAUCAUUAUAUUAACAGAAAAUUUUCCCAUUACAAUGAGUUUCUCCCUGGGAUCAAAAGUUGUCCACAGUCCUGCUGAUGGCCUACGUAUCUUGAAAUUUAAAAAGGUGAAAUUCCAGGGAAGUCCAACAUCCGGACAAGUUUUUCCAAAAUGAACUGUGCUAUGGCUGGAGGGGUUGCUAUGUCUUAGCCAGGAAAAGGCCCACGUCUUCUCAAAGCAGUUGUCUCUAGAUGGAAAGAAAAUGAAAAAUAGGCCUCCCAUCCACCCAUGGCAAUGUAAUCGUUGGCAGCAUUCUAAUAUGAUUUCACCUGUGGAGACCCAAUGGGUCUUGGAUUUGAAAACCCAAGUGGCAAAUUAACAAGCUGCACUGUACCAGUGAAUCCAGGGCUGCAGGGUGAGAAAUAGCAAAGUUAGGAGAAGCAGAGCGAGGUGUGUUUGUGUACUGGAUUUUGAAAUGAACUAAACACACACGCAUGUGCAUGCACACACACACACACACACACACGAUUUUCAAAUGUGAAAUUAAUCCAUGUUUAUUACAGAGAGGACCCACCGAACGCAUAACAUGACCAUGGGGAAAGCACAUUUGCUGGGAGCUCUGGAUUUAUAACCUUUUCAUGGAAGAGAGCUCUAAGGACUGAGUCAGGGAAUAGGGUGGAAGCCUGAGGCUUGAGGGAGAUAGGGGAAAUUUAAAAAGAGAAGAGACGUAAUGCAGAGGCUCCAAGUGCUGCUACUUGGGAGAAAUGGGGCCUGGGGUAUCCAAAGCACAAUCAGCAGAGGGGUCUGCGUGUAGCCUCAGCUGUGGUCUCUGCAGGAAGAAAACCUUGAGCAGCACAAAGCAGGUCCCAGGGAGGAAGGAUAAAUGUGGCUGAUGUCGGGCAGAGAAAGUGGAACAUGCCAAGGCUCAACCCUACAGAUACGAUCCCAGUCCUUUGGCAUUUCAAAAAUUAUCAGUCCAAAUUGCUUUUCUUGCUCAUUCCAGAUGCCUCCAUAUCUGACUCGAUUACUAAGUACCAGGCCAUGUUAAAAAUAAACUUUUGGGAGUCCAGGGUGAUUUUUUUUCCCUCUUUUCUCUUUCAUUGUAAUGGCCACAUUCUCAUGGCCUGACAUUACUUGAGGUCUGGCUUAGAUUAGCCCCUGACUGAGAGACCCAGGCUAAUUUAGUGACUGCAAUUAUGCCUGCCUCUAAUCGAGUUCUGCUCUUUGUAGCACAUGUCCUCUGAGUGGUUUUUCUCCAAUAGAAGCCGUGGCCGUGCCAGGCCAUCUAUACCUUCUUGCCCCAGGCCUCUUAUGACAUACAUCGGUGAGACAACUGGCCAGGAUUAGGGUUAUGAUCUGUGACCCUGAAACAGAGUGAAAUUAAUUGGCAACAAGGGGACUGAGCCCAUGAAAAUCAUAAGGGCCGUAAGUACUCUAAUAUAUGACCCCAACUGCUGCAGACCGGCACCUGCUGCCCAGCCAUGAAGAUUCUUUCCAUAAUAGAAUUCAAAAAGGAAAACAAAGUUUCUCUAAGUGCCAGCGUUUUUGCUUGGGGUCUUUUACAGGUAGUCUUUGGACUUGAGAUGUACGUGUCAAGUCAGCAUUGAUGAUAAUCUUUAAUCUCAGCCUGCAGAGCCUCGUGGAGAGGAAAUAAGCUGCAUAACUUAAUGCUAGCAACUUAAAACAAUGUGUAGUCAUAAAUGAGAGUGGGUGGGUGCAAGGGUGGGUUCCCCUCUUCUCUGGGUAAAACAGCACAAGUAACAAGUUUAGGGUUUCUAAAGAAGAGAUGGUACAUUGAAAAUCAAUCAAUUCUAAAUCCCUAUAAAAUAUGCAUUAAGAAGUGCUUCCUCUCGAGCACACCUGAAUAUUAUUUAUUAACAGAAAGAAAUAGGUGCUGCAUGCUAUCUUGGAAACCACCCUCCUGCUUCUAGAUUCACAAAGGAUACCAGGAAGGUUUGCACAUGUGCACUAGGGGGAGUGGGGCAGAGGGAGGGCCAAGGGCUCUCCAUGCCAUUAUCCAGCUCUGUUUCAUUCUUCCUGGGGAGGAGGGCUUGGCCCAGAAGCCACAGGAGGCUGGAGAGUCUUAGAGGCUGAGGGCAGGAAGGGGAGGAAGUGAGCAAGGGGGCUGGUGCCCGGGAGGCCUCCGGGAGAGUAACCAAUUCCUUCACUGGGGGCAGGUGGGAGUCUCCAGGGUCAUUCUGGUGCAACCUGUGAAGGGAGGAGAGGAAAGAGGUUUCCGGAAGUCUCCUGCUCUCCCUCCCGCCUGCCUCCCUCCUUCCCCUAGCUGCUGGUUGCACGGAGCAGCGGAAGGAAGGAUGUAUCAAACUGAAAGAAGAAAGAACCCCUGCCAGCCGGCCCCCAUGACCCUAGACUCUGAACGGCAGCAGUGUGGGGCAGCACAGGCUGCAGAUCAGCAGCAGCCAGGCUGGGAGGCCAAGCCAACUCUGCAAAAGUUGUUUUCUUUAGCAGAAAAGAAGGGAGGCACAGGUUUCAUAUCAAAGGAAAGGGGAGCUCGUCUGUGGCAAUAUGACAUCAGGGCCUGGGCUGUGGGGAAGAUGUCAGUCAAACCCCAGCUGGGUUUCUCCACCGCCUUUCUGUGGUCCUUCUAAAAAAUAUGCAGGUAAAAAUGAGGUCUGACUCCAACUCCUGCAGUUAGUGAUGCUUAAUUUCGAUUUUGCAAGGACUCCCCCUAUGGGAGAAGGGAAUAUGAAUGUUUUUUUUUUUUGUCUUUAUGAGUGCAUUGUAGUUAUACAUAAUAGUGGGGUUCAUUUUGACAUAAUCAUAGAAGCAGGGAAUAUAAUUUGCUCCAUUUCAGUCCCUAGUACUCCCUCUUUCCCUCCUUUCCUCUCUCCCCCCAUUCCUUUUCCUCUACUCUACUGGCUAACUUAUUUAUAGGUUUUCAAAAUUAGCACUUUAUAGAUAUACAUAGAGGUGAGAUUCACUGUGGUCUGUCCAUAUAUCCACAUAGGGUAGUUUGACCAGCCCAUUCCAUCUCACCUCCCGUUUCCCAGUCCUUCUCCCCGCGCCUCCCAUCUCUCUCCUUCCUCUACUCCAUGGAUCUUUCUUCUAUCCUCAUGGGAGAGGUGAGUCUUAAUGAGCUUUAACACACAGGGCAUGGAGGCAGGAGGGGAAAAGGCAAGAGAAGGCUUCAGAAGUUUCUUGGGGAUAAAUGAUGGGUUUGCAAAUUCGCAUUUAGUCAAGGGACAGCUGGGAGCACCAGCGGCUCAUGUUCUCUAUUUCUACCACUUUCAUCCACCCGAGCAAAGCUGUGAGGACAGGCAAGCCUCUUCCUCCUGAAUUUCCAGGUACAGGAAGAGAAACUGACUGGGAGUAAAGGAUGCUCUUGAUCAUGCAGGACGAAAAGGAACCAAUUUGUGGUCGUGAUACCUAUUUCUGCACAUUCUCCAGGCUUGCCUAGGAGAGUUCUGGGAAAAUGAGUCAGAACUGGUCGUUAUUGAUGUCCAUCCUAUUCCCUGACUUGGUUGUCAGUGUUUUCUCCAAUCCCCAGAGCUCACUGGGGGGAAAUAAGGGUUGUUAUUGAACAAACUAGCACUUCCACAUUCUUCUCAGUGGUUUUGUGUCUGCUAGCUCCCAGGAAGCUGCUGCUACUUCAUUUUGUUUUGUUUUUGUUUUUUUGCCUCUUAAAGCAAAGAAACUUUUAGUUUGCUCUCUUUGGAAUGUGUCAUUGCUGGAUUGCUUCUCUUCCGUCCUACAAAACCCUAAUCCUCUUAUUUUUUGGUUGGGGAAGGGUUGGAAUUGGGGGCGUGGCUGUUGGAGAUGGAGGGAAUUUGGACUAGGCCUUCCUCUGACAGCCUGCACAUCUUCAUUCAUCUCCACAACUUCUGUAAGAGAUCGAGCAUCCAUUCACUCACUGAUCCUUUUAGUCAUUCAAGUAGCCAUCCUGUGCUUUGAGUAGAGUAAGGCUGAACAGCAGCCUUAAAAUGUCUGUCUACUGAAAGAUUGACUUUCUUCUCUCACCAGCCCAGCCAGGCUUUUGAGAGAGUGUUUCUUGGGACCAGAUGGAGAAGGCAUGGAUCACUCUGUUGCAGGGGAGCUCUGACAAGUCCCUGCCCUUCCUGAUGAUGGGCUUCUGAAACACAGGGAGAUGCAAAGUCUCCCCCAGGGGACGGAGGAUGGGGCUUUUGAAAAUCAUGGCACAACAGCCACGUGGAGCAAGCACACAGCAGCUCACAGAAAGCCUCCAGGUACUCUAGCAGAAUGAGAGUGGACAUGAGCGUAAUGGCACUUCCAAAGUCCUGGACACAUGGCGGGUUUCUCCCAACGUUCACAGUGCUCACCACUGUAAUAUCUGUGACACAACCUCCCAAAUGAUCAGAAGACCCAGUAAGACAAAUGAGGGCAGCUCUGAAAGCCCGCUGAGUUGGCUUUUUGCCCUGUGUUGGUGCUUCCGCAGAGGCCCUGGUGUGGAAGGCUGGGUGGCCAGUCCAUGGCAUUCCUAGCAAGUAGUGGACCCUGUAAGAGGUGGGGCCUAGUGGAAGGAGUGAGGUCACAGGGGGUGUGCCCUUGAAGGGGAUCCUGGCAUCCCUCUUCUUCCAGUCUCUCUCUUUGCCCCACUGAGUGUCCUGCAUUGAGAAGUUCUGCCUCCCCACAGGCCUAAAAAAUAAUGGCGCCAUGACUAUGGAUUAAAACUUCUGUCUCUGCGAACCAAACUAAGUCUUCCCUCCUUUGUUGAUGUAUUUCAGGGGUUUUGUCACAGCGAUGGGAACCUAACAUGGUUGCUCACCUGGUACAGUUGUCCAAAACAGAGACAAAACAGGAACUUAGAAAAUCAGAAGAAAGUGGGGGUGUAGUGCACACCCGUAAUCCCAGCCACUCUGGAGGCUGAGACACGAAGAUUGCAUGUUCAAGGUCAACCUGGGCCAACUUAGUGAGAUCCUGUCUCAAAAAUAAAAAGCCUGGGAAUGUGGCUCAGUGGUAAAGUACCUCACCCUCAAUAAGCAAAAAAUAAAAAUAAAUAAAUAAAAAUAAACAUCAGAAGAAUGAUGAUAUGACGAUUUUAGAGAUCAAGUCUGGUGUCAGGAGUUUUGGCUGUCUCUGUUCCUAUGAGUGUUUUCUUGGACCUAGAGUCAGCGUUCAAAACAAAACAAAAACAUUCUCCCAGCUCCCAAGUCCUGACCCUUGUGUCAUCUAUCAUUAAAGUCACAGGAUCCAUAAUUAUAGGACUCAGAACUGAGUUAAUCUAGGAGGGACAAAUUGGGGCACAUUCUAUUUUUGAGGGCCAUUUCACAUCUAAAUGUCUUUGUCCGUGAUUUAUGAUCUUCUGUGAUUGUUUAUUUAGUUUCAUUUGUCUUAAGAAAAAAAAAAAAAAAAAAGAUGGCCUGUGAACAGCAGCAGGACAUCUCUAGGGCCUCAUCUGAGACCCAAGCAUAAUGACCAGGAAUGUGACACAUCCCCAGCCAGCUGGUCACAGUCUGGAAAUACCACCCUCCAGGACAACUAGCAUUCUGGGGGGUGUAUGGGACGGAUCAGCAAACUGGGCUGAUCCAGAUGGAUUCCUCCUCCACAUUCAAGCAUCUUGGGUUGGAGAAAACCCCAACCAACCACUUUGAGCCUUGGGCACUUUUUCCAUUAAUUUUUAAAAACUGAUGUGCCUGUCCAGGGAAAUUUGAUACCUAGGUUUGUGAUUCAUUUACACUUAACUCAUCAAAAUAUUGUUCUGUGAGUAGAGAUUCGUGUCCAAGAAAUCUUAAGAGCCUUUUUAUAAGCUUUUAAACUUCUUUGAAACGUUAAGAAACAGAAGUAGCAGUCUCCCCAUUGUAAACAGGAGUGAAUCCCUGGUUGGGGGUGGGGAGGACGCGAGGCCUUCAGGCUGGAGGCCGGUGGAAAGAAGGCGCCAAGACACACUGUCCUUGGUCCCCAGGGACGGAACCCGAGGCCAGUUCUUUCCAGUGCUCCCCUAGGUAUGCACGUCUCCCCCACAGACUGGGGCUCACUGCUGGUUGCAUCUUUGUCAUUCUGAAGGCAAAGGUAAGGAUUUUGGGGGGUCUUGCGGUUGGCAGAGAAAACCCCCAAGUGUUCUGCAGAGAAGGAUGAUAGAGACUCGCAGAAUUUCACUUCCAGGCAAGACCCACCCCCUCCUUCUUUUCCCCCUUCAAAGAAAGGGUUCAUAAUGUGUCUUUUCAUUUAUAAUUUUAUGAAGGUCUCAAUUGAACAUGUAAAGACAGUGGAAAAAUUCUGAGUUGCUAUGGAUAUUUGGCAUUCUCCCCACUAGACUAAAAUCUACUUUCUCUCCCCAAGCAAAAUGGUUACGGAGAUUCCAAUAAAAGGGGGUGGAGGCCAGCGAGGCCCACAGUCUGGGAUCAGAGUCUUGGUGAAAUUUAUUUAUAUUUUAAUCCUUCGAAUAUGAUCUACUUAGGUGUUCACUGUUUCCCUUGGCUUCUGACGUUGGAGGAGAAUUCCUUUGCAUUUCAGAAUGCUUGUCACUGCUGUGGAUGAAUGCUCUCGAGUUCUAUCUUAUUUUACCAAUGGAUCUGCAGGGUGCUGCCUAUCACGGAAACCAGCAUCUCUUCUCUAGGUUGGUUGGUUUGUUCUGCAUUGUUCUUAUGUUCCUCAUUGUCUUAGAAGAGGAGAAGCUUGAGAAUAAAAGAAAUCAUCAAUGAUAAAAUUUUCUUCAGUGUUUGAAUCUAUUUUUAAAAAAGUCCUUAUCAUUUAUAUUAAACUGAUGUGAUUCUGCAAUCUGUAUAUGGGGUAAAAAUGGG